AGGAUUAAACAACAACUAUAACAAUGGUAAAUUCUUACCUUAACCUCAGAUACAAAUUUCUUAUCCAACUUGUAACGUUCCAGCAAAGCAU